NNNUGGUGGUCUAGUGGUAUGAUUCUCGCUUAGGGUGCGAGAGGUCCCGGGUUCAAUCCCCGGCCAGACCC
rnacentral:tRNA from 1 species